rnacentral:misc_RNA from 1 species
CAAGAAGCCGAAAGGCUACUUAAAAACCCAUCGCGAACUUAUCCAAGUUGCUUCGGCGGCGCCGGCGUGGCUCCCCUCACGGGGGACCCGCAGCCCCCGCCUCUCAGGAGGUAAGGGGCAGCCGCCGGAGGUACGAAAACUCUGUAUUAUAGUGGUAUCUCUGAGUAUAAAACAAAUAAGGUUAA